AACGAACGCUGGCGGCAGGCCUAAUACAUGCAAGUCGAACGCCCCGCAAGGGGAGUGGCGCACGGGUGAGUAACGCGUGGGAAUGUGCCCUUAGGUGCGGAACAACGUUUGGAAACGAACGCUAAUACCGCAUAAUAUCUCCGGAUCAAAGAUUUAUCGUCUAGGGAUCAGCCCGCGUUGGAUUAGCUAGUUGGUGGGGUAACGGCCUACCAAGGCGACGAUCCAUAGCUGGUCUGAGAGGAUGAUCAGCCACACUGGGACUGAGACACGGCCCAGACUCCUACGGGAGGCAGCAGUAAGGAAUAUUGGACAAUGGGGGCAACCCUGAUCCAGCCAUGCCGCGUGAGUGAUGAAGGCCUUCGGGUUGUAAAGCUCUUUUAGGUGUGACGAUGAUGACGGUAACACCAGAAAAAGCUCCGGCUAACUUCGUGCCAGCCGCCGCCGUAAUAC
rnacentral:rRNA from 1 species